CCCCCCCCCCCCCUUCUCUCUUGGGUCAUUGGGCAACACUGUUGAUCUAUCUUGAUUUGUGGGAAUUAGUUCAGAAUCAUUGUGUAGAAUAUGAUAAUUUGUAAGGGAGAAUUACACUUGCUCAAAGAACAGAGAUGAAAAAAAAAAAAAAAAUGCUAAGGCCCUAUCCUAUUUUAGCAAAAGGCUUGGAUGACGGAAAAAUCAAGCGUUGGAAUCAAAAGAGUUAAUCAGUCUGAUGGAAAAGAGGCAGUCAUCAAAGUAAUGGUGAUAUACCCGUAUUUUAUAAUUGAAAAAAAAAGGGGCCCUAUUGAAAAACAUUGUUGGUACAGGAAUAAAGACCCCAAUGUUCCUUGGUGCUCCAUCUAUAUAAAGAAUAGACACGUAGAAAAAGAGUUUUGGUACAAUCCUAAAAAUCAGCUAAUUUUCAUGAAGAAAAAGGUGACAAUGAAAUGUCAAUGAAGAACACUUGUUUGUAUCUUACCUCAUUGCCACUACAAAAAAUAUUUGGUAACCGAUAGCGGCUUUAGUAAUUAUAUGACUAGUGAUAAAUCUAUUUCUAGAAACUGAUGGAUCUCUGACAUCUCAGGUGUGCAUGGGGAAUGAUAGCCAAGAUCGAGUUCGAGGCAAAUGAGUAGUUGCAACAAAUACCAAAUUUGAUAAGAAAUUGAUUGAUAAGAUUUUAUAUGUGUCAGGUUUGGCUCAAAAUUUGAUUAGUUUGUGGUAGCCAAUGAAGAAAGGUUCUUUAGUCAUUUUAAAGAUGAUAGAUGCAUGCUAUACAACAAAGGGAAUAAGAAAUUAUUAUUAUAUUUAAGAAUUUCGUUUUCUUUUGAUUUUUUAAGCUCAGAAAUGAAGUUAAUCGGAUAAAAAUUGGGUCACUAGAAUUUUUUUUUUCUUCAGAACAUAAGAAUGCUGCAAUGCAAUUUUGAAACAUAUUGAGUUAAUAGAAAAUUAAUACUAGUUUUUAAAAAACAAAAGCCAAUGGCCAAUGUAUGAACAAAUUAGUUAUUACAUUUAUUAUAUUUGGGGAUAAAAGGAGUUAAAUAAUUAUAUAAAGAUAUACUCCGUAUUAUAUUAUUAGAUGUUGCUGUGUCUUUGUUUCCGUGUCCUAUUUUUUGAUACUUUGUCGUAUCACCGAAUCCCAGUGUUUGUAUGUGUGUUUCAUAGGUGUGGAAGCAUUUGGUUUGGCAUUUUGCACUGGAGUGCUAAAAGUAGGAAUUUUUUAGCUUGUGUAGAACCUUAUGUAAAUUGUCUAUUGGCUUAUCACACCAAUUAUGGCUGCACCUGAGUUAAUUUGAGUUGAUCUAAAAUGAGUGCUUCAUUGACCCCACAUUCAUCUCCUUCUUAAGAUGGCAAUUGGCUGAGGGUUACAUCCAUAAAUCCUUCUUAAGAUGGCAAUUGGCAAAUGGAGUUCAUCUCAAGUUUACUUCUACAGUGAUAAGCACGGUAUAGGAGUGAUCUGACUCUGUUUUCCUUUUUAAGUAUGCAAUAUGCUCUGUAGGGGCUCUUACUGAAAUUCUGCAGAUUUUACUAUUGGAUUUGUUAAUUGCAUUGUUUAAUACUAGAUUGGUUUAGAAUAUAGCAAAUGAUGGAAUGCUUAUGCAGCAAAAGUAAAACAUCAUAGAUAAAUUGUCAUACACUGUUGAUGGUAAUUUUUUAUUCUGUUCAAACUGUUAUCAGGUUUGUUUGGCAUUUGGCAAUAUUAGGCUUUUAGCAUUUUUGUCAAUAAGCUUAUAACUUCUUUCGGCAGACAUCACAAUUGCCCAAAUGGUUGAAUUAAUAUUCCAGCAUUCGUAACCAUCUGGUUCUAAGGCUUCCAUUUGUAAGGUAUAAAGGCCAGCAGGUGUUUGUUCCUUGUCCAAAUACGUGAGCAUACGAAGCUUCUGAAAAAUCAAAGUAAUUCUACCAGCUAGCACUUUAUCUUGAUGUAAAGCAUACCAUUUUGAUCCUUCUUUGACAUUCCCAAAGGCAAAUACUAAAUCUUAUGGGAUUAGCUUGUGUCGUGUCUCUUUAAUUCCCAAACUAAUAUAUCGCGUCUUGGUCCCAAAAUGUUUCCAUCUUAUUAAUGAUUAGAUUGCUUAUUAAUGAGUUGAAGUGUUUAGAAUGUUAUUGUUACCCUUUGAGGAGAACAUGGAGUUAUUGUUUUUGUAUGGUUAUUUUCGCUCUUUGAUUAGCUGCACUUUCGCUGCGUAUGAAAAAGAUCCCUCAUCUGUCUUCCUUUGUAAACCAUCCUUGCAUUUUGGUAAUAUUUCGUGGUUUCUUAUCCCUGAAAAGAGAGAGAAAAAGAACAACUGAGUUGAAUUAAUAAUUUUCCUUGUUUUAGGCUGAUUGUUCAUAAAGAACCAUAUGAGCUUUUAUAUGAUAGUUUUAUUUCUUGAUUGACUAUACGAAUAUCUUGGAGAUCAUUUUGAAGGUUCAUGGCUUUGCUUUGAAUGUAACAAAAAGCCGAUAAUGUUAAAUAAAAAAUCUAGUACUGAAGGAGAUGAACUUGCUUGUUUUCCAAAUUGGGCUGUCUUUAAAUCUGGCGGGGACCAAAUCAUUUUGGUAGAUAAGGUAAAAAAUGAAGCUUUAAUAUGGGUUUUUAGAGCUCACACAAUCUCCCCUGCUAAUUUAUUUUUAACUGAUGCUAAAAUGUGUACUAGACAUGGAGACACUUUUGAUGAAGCUUGCAGGACAAUGAUGUUGAUUAUAUAAUUUAUAUUAUUAUGUGUUAAUUUACAUGUGAUGCAUUAGUGUGAAGGCAUUUUGGUUUGGCAAUUUGCUCUGGGUGCUAUAAUUUUUAAAUUGUAAGCUCAUCUAGAAUUUUUUUGUAAAUAGACAAUUAGCUUACCCCUCCAAUUAAGAUUUAAGGCUGCAAUCAAGUUGGUUUUAGUUGAUCUAGGCAUUACAAUGAGUGCUACAUUCAGCCCACCUUCAGGUCCUCCUCAAGCUAGCAAUUAUCCCGGUCCUGAUUUUUGGUAAGAUAAAAUUACCCAUUGCAUUCAGUCAAAUUCAUUAGGGUUUUGUGUCACCAUGAUGGGGUUCUGUUAGUGAUUAGCAAUCACAGAAAAUGUUCUCAACUUCAUUUGUUUUAAGUGAAUUUUAUUAGGGUUCCAUCGGUAAUUAGCAAUCACACUAUAAAUGUUGUCACCUGUCUAUAUCCUUAUCUUUUAUUUUGGUGCAACUAGUUCAAGAGAAAAUAUCUUGGAAACUCCAAACACCACGUCAAAUGAUUUGAAUUCUGAACUGAACAUAAUUAUUGGAUUUGGGUUCCUCUGGUAAUUAGCAAUCUCAGAAGGAGCAAGACAUCCGCGGGUUGAGUCGGUGUCCAAUGAUGUCCAAUGGCUGGCAAUGAGUUCCCAGGGCACAAAAGAAGAAUAAAAGAAAAAUAAGAUAACUCGCGGAUAGAAGGAUCCUGGUUAGAGCUUUCCAUUGAAAAGGAAAAGCAACGAAGGGAAUGAUCAAAUAAUACUAGAAGUUUAAGCUUGUGAGAUGAAUUUGUACUGCUCCAGGUAUUCAUGUUCCACUGCUCGAUGCCAUUUUUCAGAUCAGUAUGCAUGCCAGGUAACAUUUUGCAUAUGAAUCUCCUUUCUCUUCAACCACAGCUUAGUAGGAACUGAGAUUGUGCAUGGAGAUUCUGGCCAAACGGUUAUGUUUCAGGUUUGCAUAUUCGAUGAGGAGAAGAAGUGGGUAGAUGAAUGCUUGUCCGGCCAAGCAUUGUUCUUGGGGGUAUAAUUGAGUGAUUUAUCUUUAGACUUUGGAGAAUUCGGAGUGCAAAGAAGGUGAAAUUUACUUCACAGAUGAUGAUGCAGAUAAAUUACAGGCCUGUGAAAGUGUUUUACUGACAUUCUGCAUUUUUACUAUUGGCACUGUUAUAUUGCAAGAUUUAAUACUUGAUUGGUUCUGAAUAUGGUAAAACGGGAUGCUAUGCUGCAAAAGUGAAAUAUUAUUGAUGGAUCGUCAUAUAUUGUUGGCGGUAAAUUUUUUGUUUUGUUCAAAUGUUACCUGGAUUUGCUUGGCA